rnacentral:lncRNA from 1 species
AGACUAUGGGUGGAAGUGUAAGGGAGCGGUUUCCUAAGGUAGAGAAAGGCCAGGAAUGAAUGCUUGGCCAUGAUGACGAAGCAGAAUCCAGCUAACUAAACCCUCUCCACGCAUCUGGUUCUGUAAACAGAGUUUUGCAGCCACAACCGUGCCUGUUCUCACUCCGGUCUGUCCUGCCAAGCACGGACCGGAAGAGCUAGGCCACAAAAGCUUUGUGAAACCCUUCUUGGGGGCUGAGACUCCAGAGGGCGAUCUCCUCUGAGCCUGCCGGGGUAAUACACCUGAGUUCUCCAACUCUCCUAGUGCUCGCUUGGUUUCUCCUAGAGCUGCUGGAGCUGAUACGCUGCCGCCAUGGAGCUCCUGGCAGCUGCCGAAAUAUUUCUGGAGGCCCCAGUGAGAUUCCAACCAUUCUGGCCUCUUGAGCCACCAGAGCCAGGGCGAGGCCGCGCGGGGGUUGGGGGAGCCCAAGGAGCGAACGAGGUGACUGUGCCACCUGAUGGUAUCCCGGGUCCUCCUUCGUGAGUGGUGUUCCUUACUUCUGGCCAGCCCAACCCCGACGGGACUCGGCGGACGGAAGGCGUCCAGACAAGGAACUCCCAUGGAAUAGGUUUGAGGACAGCCCCAUGUAGACCCGUGACGCCGGAUGCGAGGACAUCUUGGUGUCGCCAUCGGGAAGGCUGUGGGCGGUUGUACCUCCUGCUGGAGUCUGUGUUCCAGUCUGAGAGCUGCUAGCUUGGCCUCUGUCCCUGAAGGUGUGUCUUCCAGCCAAGGGGCCGCCCCCCAUCCCCCACCUUGCAGGGGGUUCUUCCAGGAGUCCAUCAGCCUGGCCGUCCUCUCUGUGAGCUCAGAAGAGACUGCCCCCGAGAUCGAUGCCAUGGUGUGUGUCUAGAUUCUGAUGCUGGCAGCCCCCGCAGCAUGUUCCCAGGCUGGGGUCUAAUUGGAGCUGCAGCUGCCAGCCCACAGCAACGCUGGAUCUGAGCCGCAUCUGUGACCUCUACGUCAGCUUGCAGCAACACUGGAUCCUUAACCCACUGAGCGAGGCCAGGGAUCGAACCCCCGUCCUCAUGGAUGCUGGUCGGGCCGUUCCUCCAGAAGUUUGGCAGCCCCACCAGCCCCCUCGCUCCCGGGGGGGGCCUUGCCCCUUCAGCCUCCGCGCUGCUCUCCGCACAGAGCUGCCGUGGCCGUGGCUGAGCGAGCCCUGGGUGGGGCGAGCAACCUCUUCGACACACACAGCGCUCCUGGCCAUGGCGCAGCGCUUCCGGCAGAACCGCAGUGAACUCAUGACCACCUGGACCUGUGGGUCUAUGACGGGGGGAGGGGGGGCCCAGCCCUGUCCCUGGAUUCCGGGGAGCAGAUGCUGCGGGCGACCUGACCGGCGACACUGUCUUCAGCUACUGCUGCAAGGCUCUGCAAGACGCUGCUGGCCUGGCGCCAGCGCUGGAAGUCCUUCCUGCACUUGGAGACCACUGAGCCGCCCUCUGGCCCUGGAUCGCCAUGGAGGAGGGCUUCCAACUGGUGUGUGAGCUGGGCACGCUGGACUGGAUCUACCACGAGCCAAGCCCAAGUGCCUGGCUCCCAAAGACAUGCCUGUGGCGGUGCCUACUGACGGCCGCGCCCUCGGAGCUGUCCCUCUCCCUGGUCAGCCUGCUGGUCAAGGGCAUGACGGUGCUGAAGAUCCAGACCAUGGCCGCCAAGCUCCUGCUGGGGCCCAACCCGAUGAACACAAAUCGUGGGCUGGCUGCUGAGCCGCGGUGUGUCCAGGGAGCGGGUGGACCGGUGAACCACCAGGGUCCUCCUGGAGCUGCCCAUCAAAGGGGCCAAGCACAGCCGGGGCUGAGGCCCCCCACGUGCUGGUGGAGGAGCAGCCCCUGCCUCCCCGGUCCUCUGACCAGGCCUGCAGGGAGGAGCUGCAGUGCACCAGGACUACGCACCCCACAAUCCAGGCCACUUUCUGCUUGGUGCUGGGAGUGGAGCAGGGGCCCAUGUCGGAGAGACACAAAGUCUUGGCCAAAGCGCCUCCUGAUCGUCCCCAGGAUAGACAGAGGGACAGCACCCCCAGCUCCAGCCAUCUCCUGCCAGGCCAGACCCUGACCACGCAUCCUGAAAACCUCGGAGAGGGUCCUUGCCCCCGCCGCCGUGGGCAUCACUGGCCUGAGCUGGUGGAGAGCAGCCAGUUGGCUGGCGUUGCUGGUUGAGGGGAGAGAGUCCGUUAAAUAUUUCAGUCUGUUACACCUUAGCCUGAUAAGCGGGGUGGGUGGGCACCCACCGUUGUGCCACACGGGCCCCCAACGCACUACAGGCCAAGCUUGAGACCCCGCAUCCCACCCCGCAAAAGCACCUUCAAGUUUGUGCCCUUGCCCUUGAGGUUUUUUCUUUAACGCGGUGGCUGUACCUGAUACUUGACUUUAGGCGUGUGCGGCGCUUGGGUUUAGUGUCCUCACUACUGCUUUUGUGAUGGUUUUUCUCUAAGUUGUUUUUUUUUGUUUGUUUUUUUUGCAAUGCCCUUUUCUUGAAAUGGAAUUUUUUUGCCUUUUGCUUUCCUGGGAAAAGGGCAGCCAGUCCCUUCCAGUUUCUCUCGCUGCACGCGUGGCUGGAGUGUCUGCAUCACCAGAGUUCCAGCAUUGUGAGGAUGGACAGCCGUGGCAGGUGGUGCCGGACACCAUUAAAGAGCCCAUGUGCUGCUACGUGUG